UCUAUAUUCUGCACGAUCUUCUGUUCCCAGGCUCACCCUGAGAUGAUUUCAUAGUUCUACAGGAAGAUGACCUUCUUAUAUUUGCGUUUACCCCUUAUUCUCUAGCCUGAAGCAUUUCAUCAUAAUUAUGUCAAAUCUCCCCAGCUGUGGGCAGUCAAUCACACUUGGGUUUAUCUAUUGGCCACUGACCUCCGCUUCCAAAUUCGCUGUUGAACUUUUCCACGUUGUGCACGAAACACCACAAUCAUCAUUACCAGGCAGUAUUAGAAAAACAGAGAACAUCCAAUGCUGCCCAGUAAGAUGGUAAUGGCAUCUCAGGAUCAUGGUCUACAAGCAGCAGAUAUAGCACAAGCUAGAAAGCCUUGCUGUUUGGAGAAGAAAAAAAGAGGAAGGAAAAAACAAAAAAAACAGGAAUACAACCUACAGCUGUCCUUCCUUUGGGAUCUCCUCAAUUAUCAAAUGCUGUCACUUACCAAGAAGGGUCCUCACUUCUAUUUUCACCUAAUGCAACGCGCCCAUCAGCUGCCAACUGUCACAAGAUGGGGGCUGGGCAGUUACAGCCCUACCUGCUACGUACCUCCAGCCGUGCAAGCUUUGUCUACGUUUUUAUUAUGCAACAGACAUUAAGAAACACACUGAGUUCUCAAGAAAAAUCUCUGCAGUAGCCAACAUUACUGCAGCUUCUCCUGCACAAAGAGGCUCAGCAUUGGCGUUGAGUACCUUUGCAAAGCCAAGACAAACGCCCCUUCCAUUGCAUUUUGAAGCCUGCUGGAGAUCUCAAAGCCUCAGGAAGGUGAGAGCCUUUGCCAGCCUCUCAGCAGCACUGCAACCACCCAACAUCAGAACUGAAAGGUGGAGAAAAUGAAGAGAAGAACAGCUGGACCAAAACAGGAUGAAAUGAUGGAGGAAGCCACUGUUGCAACUGGAAUCCCACGGGUUUAAGAUGUGUCCAUCUGUCAUGUUUUUCUGUACAUUACCUGAUAUAUUACAGAUUAAGGACAGGAAGAAAGCCCUGUUUCCUACGUGUGCAAACCUCCACACAAAAGGGGAAGCCUAGCAGAGUUCUUACAGUUCUAUGGCUAUCUCAUGGGAGCGACUUCCAAAGGCUACCAUCAGCUGCUGGAUGGUAUCCGUGGAGCCCAGCCCUUUGGUUCUUGGAGCCCACUCAGUUUUAAUUGGGAUGAAAAAGGCUUGCCUGAAAGCUGCUAUUUUUCCUGCAGGACACGGUUCCUUUGGACAGAAGGUCGCAUGCUGCUGCCCUUCAGUCCCAACACGCUGCUGCUGGCAGCACAGACAGACCUGUGGUGCUUGGGGUGCAAUUGCCGUCUGCGUGUCUGGGCAGACCGCGCUCAGCUGCGGCUGUGCAGUGUGAACCCAGGGGAAGUGCGAGGGGAAGAGAAACUUCCUUUCCCUUGCUGUCAGCUUGCUAACACCCAACAGGACAAGGAGAGAUUUUCACUGGACCCUACUGGGAACGUUUGGUGCUGUCUGGCAGCUGUUUGGGUGAUGGAGAGACUCUGAAUUUCCUGCUUUACCUUCCAGCUCCGAACAAAGCGCUCUCUAUGUAAAAGGAGCCUCGCUGCCGGCGAAGCAGCUAGUUCCAACACGUCCCUUUCCCUCCUGGCACCCUCCACGUAGCCCCCACAGAAGGGGCAGGGAGUGCAGUUCCCAGCACACCUGAGUCACCCCUCGCUGAGCGCCGGCAGGAAGGGGUGGUGGCAGCUGGGAAGCUCCCGUGAGUCACCGACCAACAGCCGCACCGAGAGGAACUUGGCACCGUGCUCUGCGCUCUUACUCCUCCCGUCGGACUUCUUGCUGAAGGCUGGCCGCUGGGGGAGGAAAGGAUCAUUACAGUGAAAGCUAGUGCAGUAAAGGAAAGGAGGAAGAGUAGGAGCAAAAAUGCCUUCUUGCCACCCAGCUGCACGAAAUCAGAUUUUGGCAGUUCUCCUCAAGCUGUUUUAUGGUUCCCAGC
ensembl:lncRNA